GAGUUUGAUCCUGGCUCAGGAUGAACGCUGGCGGCGUGCUUAACACAUGCAAGUCGAACGGACUCAUAUUGAAACCUAGUGAUAUAUGAGUUAGUGGCGGACGGGUGAGUAACGCGUGGAGAACCUGCCGUAUACUGGGGGAUAACACUUAGAAAUAGGUGCUAAUACCGCAUAAGCGCACAGCUUCGCAUGAAGCAGUGUGAAAAACUCCGGUGGUAUACGAUGGAUCCGCGUCUGAUUAGCUGGUUGGCGGGGUAAAGGCCCACCAAGGCGACGAUCAGUAGCCGGCCUGAGAGGGUGAACGGCCACAUUGGGACUGAGACACGGCCCAAACUCCUACGGGAGGCAGCAGUGGGGAAUAUUGCACAAUGGGGGAAACCCUGAUGCAGCGACGCCGCGUGAAAGGAGAAGUAUUUCGGUACGUAAAGCUCUA
rnacentral:rRNA from 1 species